CCCACCUCUUCCCAUUCCGAACAGAGAAGUUAAGCCCGUCAUCGCCGAUGGUACUGCAAUGCAAUGCGGGAGAGUAGGUAGCCGCCUUCU
rnacentral:rRNA from 1 species